AAGCCAUUAGUUUCACGGGAAAAAUAAGUACUCUGGAAGCAAGCUCAAAGGACUCAAGUUUGCAUUGGUUAAUGGACUUAAAAUAGUUUCCACUUACCUGCAGCUCAACAGGUCGAGUUUAUCACAUUCUACUACAAUUUCCUGGCCCCAUUCCCAAUACGCAUUUGAAGCCUGCAGCUGCAACACGAAAUCAACACAAUUAACAAACUUUACAAAUAAACAGCAACAGAGGCAUUUGAUGCAAGCCAACCUGUACAGUGAAAGAAAUGGAAGUAUAUGCUGCAAGAAAAUAAAACAAUAUUUUUAAUCUUAAUAAAAAUA